UCCGGUGCCGAUGAUGAACAUCGUCAACGGCGGCGUGCACGCGGACAAUCCGAUCGACUUCCAGGAAAUCAUGGUGAUGCCGGUCGGCGCAAAGAACUUCGCGGAAGGACUGCGGACUGCGUUGCGGCGCCGAGAUUUUCCACACGCUGAAAUCUGAACUGAAGAAGGCCGGUCACAACACCAACGUCGGCGACGAGGGCGGCUUCGCGCCGAACCUGCCAUC
rnacentral:misc_RNA from 1 species